CCAGAAAAGGGGGGCGUCGCUGUAUGUUGGUACUAACUGAUACGUCUUUGGGAUGGCCAGAGGUAUUACGCUGUAGAACUAAUAAGGCUGGGAAAGUAACGAAAAUGCUGUUACAUGAAAUAAUUCCAAGAUUCGAGGUUCCUGUAGAAAUCUCAUCAGAUCGAGGCCCACAUUUUUGCCAAGGUGGUCUAACAGAGAAGCACAUUAUGGGAAUUGAUUGGCAAUUGCACACCACCUUAUAGACCGCAGUCAAGCGGACAGGUAUAAAAAUGAAUCACCUGAUCAAAUUACAGAUAGCAAAACUUGGCCAAGAGUCUGGGAUUCCCUGGCCGCAGGCACUGCCUUUGGCACUUCGGAGAAUUCGGACUAAGCCUCGAACCAAGGAAGGAUUAAGCCCAUAUGAGAUUCUUUAUGGGUGACCUUAUACUGUACAAAAGGAAAUCUCUAUGCGGGUUAGGGAUGAGGUGUUAAUAUAAAGUCAGUUUGGUGAAGCACUUAAAGGAAACUAAACAAAGAGUAUUCGGUGCCAAGGCAUGAGGCCCAGGCAGUCCAGUGCAUGAUGUAUUGCCAUGUUGCAAUACAUCAUGCAUAUUGUUUAUGUUAAAUUUCUCUCCGAUUGACCUCUGGAACCAAAGUGGGAAGGACCCUACCAAGUUCUCCUGACCGCCCACACCACUGCCAAGGUACAGGGACUUACACCGUGAACACAUCACACCUGCCUGAAGAAAGCACCAGGAGCACAGUUCGAACUAAGUGUUCAUACAGCCCCAUAGCUAUACAUAACAAGGAAUACCACAGCUUUCUGAGAGCACUUAUCCCAGCUCUAUUAGUUGCCCAGCUAGAAAAAGCUAUAGUAAAUAUCUCUGCAACUCUGGAAAUCAUAGAGAAUGCCACAACAGANNNNNNNNNNCAUUGGGACCAUCGUGGCCAUAUUGUGGCCUUUGGGGCCUUUGGGGCCUUUGGGGCCUUUGGGACCAUCGUGGCCAUAUUGUGGCCUUUGGGGCCUUUGGGGCCUUUUUGGGGCCUUUGGGACCAUCGUGGCCAUAUUGUGGCCUUUGGGGCCUUUGGGGCCAUUGGGACCAUCGUGGCCAUAUUGUGGCCUUUGGGGCCUUUGGGCCUUUGGGCCUUUGGACCAUCGUGGCCAUAUUUGUGGGCCUUUGGGGCCUUGGGGCCUUGGGGCCUUUGGGACCAUCGUGGCCAUAUUGUGGCCUUUGGGGCCUUUGGGCCUUUGGGCCAUUGGGACCAUCGUGGCCAUAUUGUGGCCUUUGGGGCCUUUGGGGCCUUUGGGGCCAUUGGGACCAUCGUGGCCAUAUUGUGGCCUUUGGGGCCUUUGGGGCCUUUGGGGCCAUUGGGACCAUCGUGGCCAUAUUGUGGCCUUUGGGGCCGCCCCGCAGUUUCGGGGUCGAUGGUGUCGGUGUGGAGGGACCGCAGCAGCACUCGGAGUGCACUGCAGACACUGCUGCGGGCCGUGUGGGAGCGCAACAGCUCCUCGUGCCAGGUGUGCCCCCCCGGGUGGCGGCUGUAUGGGGGCAGCUGCUAUAGGGUGGGCAGCGGCGCUGUGGGGUGGGCGCAGGCGGAGGGCCGCUGCCGGGACAGUGGGGCACAGCUGGUGGUCAUCAACGACGCGCAGGAGCAGGAGUUCCUGACGUCGUUGGCGCCCCCCCACGAGACGUGGAUCGGACUGCACGACCGCAGCACGGAGGGCUCCUUCCAAUGGGGUGGACGGCAGCGCCCUCAGCUUCCGGUGCGCGGGGGGGGAGAUGGGGGCGGGGGGGAUGGGGGUGAUGGGGGGCUGUGGGGUGAUGGGGGGUGUGGGGUGAUGGGGGUUAUGGGGCGAUGGGGGCUAUGGGGUGAUGGGGGCUUGGGGUCAUGGGGGGCGGUGGGGGCGAUGGGGACUAGGGGUAAUGGGGUGAUGGCGGUUAUGGGUGAUGGGGGGUGAUGGGGAGAUGUGGG
rnacentral:lncRNA from 7 species